CAGUCGCCACGGGAAUACGUAGGGUGCAAGCGUUAAUCGGAAUUACUGGGCGUAAAGCGUGCGUAGGCGGACUGAUAAGUCAGGGGUGAAAUCCCAAGGCUCAACCUUGGAACUGCCUUUGAUACUGUUUGUCUUGAGUUCGAGAGAGGUAAGUGGAACUGCGAGUGUAGAGGUGAAAUUCGUAGAUAUUCGCAGGAACACCAGUGGCGAAGGCGGCUUACUGGCUCGAAACUGACGCUGAGGCGCGAAAGCGUGGGGAGCAAACAGGAUUAGAUACCCCCGUAGUCCCUGUCUCUUAUAC
rnacentral:rRNA from 1 species